rnacentral:rRNA from 1 species
AUUGAACGCUGGCGGCAGGCUUAACACAUGCAAGUCGAACGGUAACAGAAAGAAAGCUUGCUUUCUUUGCUGACGAGUGGCGGACGGGUGAGUAAUGCUUGGGAAUCUGCCUUAUGGAGGGGGAUAACUACGGGAAACUGUAGCUAAUACCGCGUAAUAUCUACGGAUUAAAGUAUGGGAUCUUCGGACCAUAUGCCAUAAGAUGAGCCCAAGUGAGAUUAGGUAGUUGGUGAGGUAAAGGCUCACCAAGCUGACGAUCUCUAGCUGGUUUGAGAGGAUGACCAGCCACACUGGAACUGAGACACGGUCCAGACUCCUACGGGAGGCAGCAGUGGGGAAUAUUGCACAAUGGGCGCAAGCCUGAUGCAGCCAUGCCGCGUGAAUGAAGAAGGCUUUCGGGUUGUAAAGUUCUUUCAGCGAUGAGGAAGGUGCUAUAUCUAAUAGGUGUAGCAAUUGACGUUAGUCGCAGAAGAAGCACCGGCUAACUCCGUGCCAGCAGCCGCGGUAAUACGGAGGGUGCGAGCGUUAAUCGGAAUAACUGGGCGUAAAGGGCACGCAGGUGGUUGUCUAAGUCAGAUGUGAAAGCCCCGAGCUUAACUUGGGAAUUGCAUUUGAGACUGGGCGACUAGAGUCCUCUAGGGAGGGGUAGAAUUCCACGUGUAGCGGUGAAAUGCGUAGAGAUGUGGAGGAAUACCGAAGGCGAAGGCAGCCCCUUGGAGAGAGACUGACGCUGAGGUGCGAAAGCGUGGGUAGCAAACAGG